rnacentral:rRNA from 1 species
ACGGAUAUCUCGGCUCUCGCAUCGAUGAAGAACGUAGCGAAAUGCGAUACUUGGUGUGAAUUGCAGAAUCCCGUGAACCAUUGAGUUUUUGAACGCAAGUUGCGCCCGAGGCCAUUCGGUCGAGGGCACGUCUGCCUGGGCGUCACAC